CGUGUCCUGCUCGCAUCUCCAGCGUCCAUCUCUGGCAGCGCUCCCAUCAUGGUGGACAUCUUGGUGCUGAUGUUUUUCGCCAUUAUGGGCCUCGUGUUUCUCUCCUACAUCAUCUACAUGCUGUGAUGGAGCGGAGACACCGAGAACCGCCGGUGAACGGCAGGAUGGAGCCGUGUUUUUAUCCCGCUGCAUCCGCUGUCCGCAGCCUGCACAAAGGGAGAAGAUGCACAUCCAGGCUGUGAUGCUUCCCAGGUGGGAUCUGCAGAGCCCAGAGGAAACACAAAUGGAGGAGAAGAAGAAGCAGAAGUGGAAGCCAAACUCUUUCUAUCUCCUUCCCCCUCCCUCACCCACAUCCCCACCCCAGUGCUCCCUCAUAUAUCCAGUGACUUUUCUAUGCUACUGAAGGUGUGCCAGUGUUUCUCUUCAGAGGAGGAGCGGUGUUACCUCUGCACAAGUCCUGCAGGACGCUCUGAGUGUGAUCCAGGUGUCUAAUCUGCCUUUUUUAUAUCACUGUGAGCUUAUUAUUUGUGUGCAGUUUGACAGAUGCCACUUGAAGCUUUUCCUCGUUUCGCUGGCGAAGAUGAAUCAGUUGGCGUUGAUGUCGUUCCAUUCCGGUGUUGCCAAUAAGUUCUUCUCCUCACUCAAAUAUCAGCUGCUCACGUUUUUUUGUCUUAUUUAUGUUUUUUUUUGGCAUCUGUGUGCUCAUGUGUUACCACCGGACCUAAUUUAUAUUAUCUAAUGUGUUUGAAAUAAUGCUGGUUUACUGAAGUUACUGACAGCACUUCACGUGAUAUGUCGAAUAAAGAUGAUUCCACUCA